rnacentral:lncRNA from 1 species
CAAAUCAGUUUCAAUAAAAACAUAAUUAAAAGAAAAUCCUAUCACCAAUAAAAUUCUGUAUAUAUAGAAACAAAAAAUGGUAGCAAAAGUUAAAAAAUGGGUAUGAUAAGCUGCAACCAUGGAGUUAAAAAGAAAUGGCAGAUGGGUUGGAUACAGAGGAAGAAGCCAAUUCUUCCAACUCCUGGAAUUCUAUCAAGCAAGUGGUCUAUCAAUUUCUUGCACUUCCUUCAACUUUAUUUGCUUGCCCUACCCAAACCCAAAACCCUUUUUGCCUAAAAGAAGUAA